rnacentral:rRNA from 1 species
GUUGUAUGGUUAAGUGACUAAGCGUACACGGUGGAUGCCUGGGCAGUCAGAGGCGAUGAAGGACGUACUAACUUGCGAUAAGCGCAGAUAAGGCAGUAAGAGCCGUUUGAGUCUGCGAUUUCCGAAUGGGGAAACCCAACUGCAUAAGCAGUUACUGUUAACUGAAUCCAUAGGUUAACAGAGCAAACCGGGGGAACUGAAACAUCUAAGUACCCCGAGGAGAAGAAAUCAACCGAGAUUCCGGUAGUAGCGGCGAGCGAACCUGGAUUAGCCCUUAAGCACUCGUUGAAGUAGGUGAACAAGCUGGAAAGCUUGGCGAUACAGGGUGAUAGCCCCGUAACCGACGCUUCAUCGAGCGUGAAAUCGAGUAGGGCGGGACACGUGAUAUCCUGUCUGAAUAUGGGGGGACCAUCCUCCAAGGCUAAAUACUCCUGACUGACCGAUAGUGAACCAGUACCGUGAGGGAAAGGCGAAAAGAACCCCUGUGAGGGGAGUGAAAUAGAACCUGAAACCGUGUACGUACAAGCAGUAGGAGCACCUUCGUGGUGUGACUGCGUACCUUUUGUAUAAUGGGUCAGCGACUUAUAUUCAGUGGCAAGGUUAACCGUAUAGGGGAGCCGUAGCGAAAGCGAGUCUUAACUGGGCGUUCAGUCUCUGGAUAUAGACCCGAAACCGGGUGAUCUAGCCAUGGGCAGGUUGAAGGUUGAGUAACAUCAACUGGAGGACCGAACCGACUAAUGUUGAAAAAUUAGCGGAUGACUUGUGGCUAGGGGUGAAAGGCCAAUCAAACUCGGAGAUAGCUGGUUCUCCCCGAAAGCUAUUUAGGUAGCGCCUCGGACGAAUACUACUGGGGGUAGAGCACUGUUAAGGCUAGGGGGUCAUCCCGACUUACCAACCCUUUGCAAACUCCGAAUACCAGUAAGUACUAUCCGGGAGACACACGGCGGGUGCUAACGUCCGUCGUGGAGAGGGAAACAACCCAGACCGCCAGCUAAGGUCCCAAAGUAUUGCUAAGUGGGAAACGAUGUGGGAAGGCUCAGACAGCUAGGAUGUUGGCUUAGAAGCAGCCAUCAUUUAAAGAAAGCGUAAUAGCUCACUAGUCGAGUCGGCCUGCGCGGAAGAUGUAACGGGGCUAAGCAAUACACCGAAGCUGCGGCAAUGUCCUUUGGACAUUGGGUAGGGGAGCGUUCUGUAAGCCGUUGAAGGUGAAUCGUAAGGUUUGCUGGAGGUAUCAGAAGUGCGAAUGCUGACAUGAGUAACGACAAGGGGGGUGAAAAACCUCCCCGCCGGAAGACCAAGGGUUCCUGUCCAACGUUAAUCGGGGCAGGGUGAGUCGACCCCUAAGGCGAGGC